rnacentral:rRNA from 1 species
UACGGAGGGUGCGAGCGUUGUCCGGAAUCACUGGGCGUAAAGCGUGCGCAGGCGGUUCGCUGUGUCCUGUGUGAAAGCCCCGGGCUUAACCUGGGAAUGGCAUGGGAAACUGGCGGGCUGGAGUGUGGCAGAGGGGGGUGGAAUUCCGCGUGUAGCAGUGAAAUGCGUAGAGAUGCGGAGGAACACCGAUGGCGAAGGCAGCCCCCUGGGCUAACACUGACGCUCAGGCACGAAAGCGUGGGGAGCAAACAGG